UGGGGGAUAUUGCACAAUGGGCGAAAGCCUGAUGCAGCGACGCCGCGUGGGGGAUGAAGGCCUUCGGGUUGUAAACUUCUUUUGCUCUGAACAAGGCAUGCUAAUGGGUGUGUUGAGUGUAGGGGUUGAUUAGCGCCGGCUAACUACGUGCCAGCAGCCGCGGUAAUACGUAGGGCGCGAGCGUUGUCCGGAAUUAUUGGGCGUAAAGGGCUUGUAGGUGGCUGGUUGCGUCUGUCGUGAAAGCUCAUGGCUUAACUGUGGGAUUGCGGUGGGUACGGGCUGGCUUGAGUGCAGUAGGGGAGGCUGGAAUUCCUGGUGUAGCGGUGGAAUGCGCAGAUAUCAGGAGGAAUACCGGUGGCGAAGGCGGGUCUCUGGGCUGUUACUGACACUGAGGAGCGAAAGCAUGGGGAGCGAACAGG
rnacentral:rRNA from 1 species